rnacentral:miRNA from 1 species
UCACUGGGUAUAUGAUUACUG